GCCUUCGUGGUGUAGUGGUCAGUACACUCGACGCGUAUUCGAGAGGUCAGUGGUUCGAGUCCCGGCAAGGGCA
rnacentral:tRNA from 1 species